rnacentral:tmRNA from 1 species
GGGGGCGAUCGGUUUCGACGGGGAGUGCGAAGGCAGGGAAAGCGGGUCGAGGUGCCGUGGCCUCGUUAAACUGCGGCAAGCACGAUAAGUGCCAACAACGAACUGGCUUUUGCCUCUUAAUUAAAGCGGCCGUCCGACCCCUCCUUCACCCGGGAGGAAGGGAAGGGCGUCACCUAAACCGGGUUGCGGCCGGUCCGAUUCUCGGAGGGCCGGUCUAAGAGCAUCGAGAUGGCCGUGGCGGACCCGGUCCGCGGGGGCCGCAACGGCGAGAGCAAAGUGCGGACUGCACCCGGAGAAGUCUCUGCGGUAGCCUUUUCGGACGGGGGUUCGACUCCCCCCGCCUCCACCA